ncrna:unclassified sequences Glutamine riboswitch
AUCGUUCAAUCUAAGUAUUUCUUAGAUCGGAAGUAGGUCUGUGACUGAAGGAACGCAUG